GGGUUAUUAGCUCAAUGGUAGAGCAGGUGACUCUUAAUCACUUGGUUGGGGGUUCGAGUCCCUUAUAACCCA
rnacentral:tRNA from 1 species